CCCCUUUUAAAAGCACUCAGUAGGCCUUUUACUAAUGACCCACUGAGCCGUCAAGAAAGGGCAGAGUAAAAAACACCGCUUUUGGGUGAAGUAGCAGCAUCUUGUGUUGUCUUGCUUCAAUCGGUGGUGUAACACGG